GACCGCGUAGCUCAGUUGGAAGAGCAUUGGGCUAGUAUUCCAAAGGUCGUAGGUUCGAAUCCCGCCGUCGCCA